ACUCCUACGGGAGGCAGCAGUCGGGAAUAUUGCGCAAUGGAGGGAACUCUGACGCAGUGACGCCGCGUAUAGGAAGAAGGUUUUCGGAUCGUAAACUAUUGUCGACAGGGAAGAAAAAAGACAGUACCUGUAGAGGAAGCACCGGCUAACUACGUGCCAGCAGCCGCGGUAAU
rnacentral:rRNA from 1 species